GAUGAAGAACGCAGUGAAAUGCGAUAAGUAAUGUGAAUUGCAGAAUUCAGUGAAUCAUCGAAUCUUUGAACGCACAUUGCGCCCCCUGGUAUUCCGGGGGGCAUGCCUGUCCGAGCGUCAUUACAACCCUCAAGCUCUGCUUGGUGUUGGGCCCCGCCGCCCCGGCGGGCCCUAAAGUCAGUGGCGGUGCCAUCCGGCUCCGAGCGUAGUAAUUCUUCUCGCUCUGGAGGUCCGGUUGUGUGCUUGCCAUCAACCCCCAAUUUUUUUCAGGUUGACCUCGGAUCAGGUAGGGAUACCCGCUGAACUUAAGCAUAUCAAUAAGCGGAGGA
rnacentral:misc_RNA from 1 species